UGGGGAAUUUUGGACAAUGGGCGAAAGCCUGAUCCAGCAAUGCCGCGUGUGUGAAGAAGGCCUUCGGGUUGUAAAGCACUUUUGUCCGGAAAGAAAUGGCUCUGGUUAAUACCUGGGGUCGAUGACGGUACCGGAAGAAUAAGGACCGGCUAACUACGUGCCAGCAGCCGCGGUAAUACGUAGGGUCCAAGCGUUAAUCGGAAUUACUGGGCGUAAAGCGUGCGCAGGCGGUUUGCUAAGACCGAUGUGAAAUCCCCGGGCUCAACCUGGGAACUGCAUUGGUGACUGGCAGGCUAGAGUAUGGCAGAGGGGGGUAGAAUUCCACGUGUAGCAGUGAAAUGCGUAGAGAUGUGGAGGAAUACCGAUGGCGAAGGCAGCCCCCUGGGCCAAUACUGACGCUCAUGCACGAAAGCGUGGGGAGCAAACAGGAUUAGAUACCCUGGUAGUCCACGCCCUAAACGAUGUCAACUAGUUGUUGGGGAUUCAUUUCCUUAGUAACGUAGCUAACGCGUGAAGUUGACCGCCUGGGGAGUACGGUCGCAAGAUUAAAACUUAAAUGAAUUGACGGGGUCAUAGCUGUUUCCU
rnacentral:rRNA from 1 species